AACGAACGCUGGCGGCAUGCCUAACACAUGCAAGUCGAACGAGACCUUCGGGUCUAGUGGCGCACGGGUGCGUAACGCGUGGGAACCUGCCUUUAGGUUCGGAAUAACUCAGAGAAAUUUGAGCUAAUACCGGAUGAUGUCUUCGGACCAAAGAUUUAUCGCCUUUAGAUGGGCCCGCGUUGGAUUAGCUAGUUGGUGGGGUAAAGGCCUACCAAGGCGACGAUCCAUAGCUGGUCUGAGAGGAUGAUCAGCCACACUGGGACUGAGACACGGCCCAGACUCCUACGGGAGGCAGCAGUGGGGAAUAUUGGACAAUGGGCGAAAGCCUGAUCCAGCAAGGCCGCGUGAGUGAUGAAGGCCUUAGGGUUGUAAAGCUCUUUUACCCGAGAUGAUAAUGACAGUAUCGGGAGAAUAAGCUCCGGCUAACUCCGU
rnacentral:rRNA from 1 species